rnacentral:tRNA from 1 species
AGAGGCGUGGUAUAAUGGUAGCAUAGGAGUCUCCAAAACUUUUGAUGGGAGUUCGAUUCUCUCCGCCUCUGCCA